CACAUCACCGUUGCUCCCUGCGCCUGUCUUUAUGAAAUGCAGUGUUACGAACCUGUACAUUGAAUUAAUGAACUCUAUGCAAUUUUCUUGAAAUUUGUUUUUAUAUCGUGAAGUUAAUGUCGGGUAAUGCUAAAAAUCUAGGGAAGUACUGUGUAAUAUAAAUUAUUGUGAAUUUUCUAAUGUGAAGUGACAGGUCUAUUGUCACUUGUGAAAUGUAAACUUACCAUAAAUUUAUAGGUGGUGAGAAAGAUAACCUCAACAUAUAAAAUGGAAACAGAAACUUUAAGCAGCUAUGAGCAACCUCAAGAUAAACAUAUUUUAGAUGAUGUUAAUCUUAACAUUCAAAAUCAUGAUGACAACUCAAAUUCAUUGCACAAUAAUGAUAUUAACGAGGCAGAGUCAGGUA